GAUGAACGCUGGCGGCUUGCCUAAUACAUGCAAGUCGAGCGAACAGACGAGGAGCUUGCUCCUUUUACGUUAGCGGCGGACGGGUGAGUAACACGUGGAUAACCUACCUAUAAGACUGGGAUAACUUCGGGAAACCGGAUCUAAUACCGGAUAACAUGUUGAACCGCAUGGUUCAACAUUGAAAGACGGUCUUGCUGUCACUUAUAGAUGGAUCCGCGCCGCAUUAGCUGUUUUGUAAGGUAACUGAUUACCAAGGCAACGAUGCGUAACCGACCUGAGAGAGGGAUAGGACGCACUGGAGCUGAGACACGGUCCACGCUGCUACGGGAGGCAGCUAAAGGGAAGCGUAAGGGAGCGGCGAAAGCGUAACGAGGCAGUGAAGAGUGAGAAAAGAAGGUGUUCGGAUCGUAAAACUCUGUAAAAAGGAAGGAAAAAAUGUGUAAGGGAGUAGGCAGGACUUGACGGGACCUUAUCAGAAAGCCACGGCUAGCUACGUA
rnacentral:rRNA from 1 species